rnacentral:rRNA from 1 species
GAUGAACGCUGGCGGCGUGCCUAAUACAUGCAAGUCGAGCGAACAGACGAGGAGCUUGCUCCUCUGACGUUAGCGGCGGACGGGUGAGUAACACGUGGAUAACCUACCUAUAAGACUGGGAUAACUUCGGGAAACCGGAGCUAAUACCGGAUAAUAUAUUGAACCGCAUUGUUCAAUAGUGAAAGACGGUUUUGCUGUCACUUAUAGAUGGAUCCGCGCCGCAUUAGCUAGUUGGUAAGGUAACGGCUUACCAAGGCAACGAUGCGUAGCCGACCUGAGAGGGUGAUCGGACACACUGGAACUGAGACACGGUCCAGACUCCUACGGGAGGCAGCAGUAGGGAAUCUUACGCAAUGGGCGAAAGCCUGACGGAGCAACGCCGCGUGAGUGAUGAAGGUCUUCGGAUCGUAAAACUCUGUUAUUAGGGAAGAACAAAUGUGUAAGUAACUAUGCACGUCUUGACGGUACCUAAUCAGAAAGCCACGGCUAACUACGUG